AGAAGAAAACAUGUGACCUGAAAAUGGGGAACUGGAAAUGGUUCUCUGCCCUGACCUACGUCACUUCCUGAAGCUGAGCGGUGGGACGCUGGCAAACAGCAACACAGCUUUACGGGAGGCAAUGCACAAAGAAACUCAAGGUCUUCAGGGAAGGUGCAGUGAAAGGGAACUUCGGAAGCAAACCAGGCUGACUAUCACGAGUCUAGUCACACAGCGGGUGCUCAUGACAAGAUGUCACCAGAACAGCAGAAAGCGGCUCUGAAUUCACUUUGCUGACAUCUUCUGAGAAAAAGAAAUUCUUACCUUUCUGUUUUGGAGAUGUUCUGGGUACUUCCUGGGGCUGUGCUGGGUCUUUGGGUUCUGAAGAAGCAUCUUGUAUCACUGAUAAAAGAAACAUAAGGUGUUUCUUUGGUAA